AUUGCGUUAGGGAUUGAAGCGGCAUCCUUUUUUUGAGGCACGAUAAAAAAGAUAUAGCGAAAAGCCCGACCCUUG
rnacentral:sRNA from 1 species